rnacentral:rRNA from 1 species
UACAGAGGUCCCAAGCGUUGUUCGGAUUCAUUGGGCGUAAAGGGUGCGUAGGCGGCGCGGUAAGUCGGGUGUGAAAUCUCGGGGCUUAACUCCGAAACUGCAUUCGAUACUGCCGUGCUUGAGGACUGGAGAGGAGACUGGAAUUUACGGUGUAGCGGUGAAAUGCGUAGAUAUCGUAAGGGAAGACCAGUGGCGAAGGCGGGGUCUCUGGACAGUUCCUGACGCUGAGGCACGAAGGCCAGGGGAGCAAACGGG